rnacentral:lncRNA from 1 species
ACAUCUAACAGUUGAGAUUGUAUAAAAAAUAAACUGAUUAAAAAAAAAAAUUUGAAGGGAGAGAAAAAAUAUAGAUAGACGGUUGAGAUAGUGGACCAGAGAGGAUCCAGAUCCUUAAUAUUUCAACUUAAUUGAAAAUACAUGAUUCGAGUUUUAUUAUGAUUAAAUAAAUUUGGGACGGAGGGAGCAUCAUAUCAAUAAUCUUUGCUCAGUUUCAGGUUGCUUUUUAUGCAUUUGGAAACUCCUCCUCCCCUUGUCUAAUUCAUGAGGUGGAUUGGAAGAAAAGAGAUUGAGAUUCCAUGAUCUGAAUCUGAAUGUGUGGAUGAGAGUGCUUUGAUUAAUCAUGAGAAAACAAGUAUAUUAAUUUCAAUUUGGUUUCUAUGGAAGUAUUGGAUUGUCCAAUAUUUUUCAUGCAGAAAUUCAAGCACUUUUGGUUGGCGUCAAAUUGUAUCGGCAAA